rnacentral:rRNA from 1 species
AAAAUGCGAUACUUGGUGUGAAUUGCAGAAUCCCGUGAACCAUCGAGUCUUUGAACGCAAGUUGCGCCCGAAUCCUUUUGGUCGAGGGCACGUCUGCCUGGGUGUCACGUACACGCGCCUCCCGCAAACCUUCCCCCUUGGGGACGAAGGGUCAUGCGGGAGCAGAUGUUGGUAUCCCGUGCCCGUUCCGCGCGGCUUGCCUAAAAACGGAGAGCCGGUGACGAAACGUCGCGCCUAGUGGUGGUUGCAUUGGCCUAGCGGCCGACCCGUUCGCGGCGUGGACGUUUGUGUCCCGGAGAUCUCGGACGACACCUCGGACGCCCUCCAAUGGGCGUGCUACUGUCGCGACCCCAGGUCAGGCGGGACUACCCGCUGAAUUUAA